GGCUCCGUAGCUCAGCCUGGUAGAGCACCGGACUUUUAAUCCGGGUGUCGAGGGUUCAAAUCCCUCCGGGGCCA
rnacentral:tRNA from 1 species